CCCUUAGAUGUUCUGGGCUGCACGCGUGCUACAAUGGCGCUUGCAACAAGUCUUGCCAACCCGAUAGGGUGAGCGGAUCUUUGAAGAGGCGUCGUGAUCGGGACAGUUGAUUGCAAUUAUUCGACUCGAACGAGGAAUUCCUUGUAAUCGCGAUUCAUCAUAUCGCGCUGAAUACGUCCCUGCCCUUUGUACACACCGCCCGUCGCUCCUACCGAUUGAGCGAUCCGGUGAAUGUUUUGGACUGGCGCCAGAAGCGGUUCGCUCCUGACACUACGAAAUUUUGUAAACCUUAUCGCUUAGAGGAAGGAAAAGUCGUAACA
rnacentral:rRNA from 1 species